GAUGAACGCUAGCGGCAGGCUUAACACAUGCAAGUCGAGGGGCAGCAUAAUGGAUAGCAAUAUCUAUGGUGGCGACCGGCGCACGGGUGCGUAACGCGUAUGCAACCUACCUUUAACAGGGGGAUAACACUGAGAAAUUGGUACUAAUACCCCAUAAUAUCAUAGAAGGCAUCUUUUAUGGUUGAAAAUUCCGAUGGUUAGAGAUGGGCAUGCGUUGUAUUAGCUAGUUGGUGGGAUAACGGCUCACCAAGGCGACGAUACAUAGGGGGACUGAGAGGUUAACCCCCCACACUGGUACUGAGACACGGACCAGACUCCUACGGGAGGCAGCAGUGAGGAAUAUUGGUCAAUGGACGCAAGUCUGAACCAGCCAUGCCGCGUGCAGGAUGACGGCUCUAUGAGUUGUAAACUGCUUUUGUACGAGGGUAAACGCAGAUACGUGUAUCUGUCUGAAAGUAUCGUACGAAUAAGGAUCGGCU
rnacentral:rRNA from 1 species